UUAUUAAUAGUUUAAAAUUAAAACAUUGUAUUUGUAAUACAAAAAUAAGUAGGUCUAAUUUCUACUUAAUAAA
rnacentral:tRNA from 1 species